UACAGAGGCUGCGAGCGUUAUUCGGAUUCACUGGGCGUAAAGGGUGCGCAGGCGGCCGUGUGUGUGAGGCGUGAAAGCCCGGGGCUUAACCCCGGAAUUGCACCUCAAACUACACGGCUAGAGCAUUGGAGAGGGUAGCGGAAUUCACGGUGUAGCAGUGAAAUGCGUAGAUAUCGUGAAGAACACCCGUGGCGAAGGCGGCUCUCUGGGACGGUACUGACGCUGAGACGCGAAAGCGUGGGGAGCGAACAGG
rnacentral:rRNA from 1 species